GGGCCGGUCGUCUAGCCAGGCUGGAUUGAUGUUAUGUCCUCCCUAGAAACUCCCGAGCUUGGUAGGAUACCACUUUGGCAUGGUGGGGGUCCUGGGUUCAAAUCCCAGCCGGUCCA
rnacentral:tRNA from 1 species